AUCCAUUGUACGAGUUUUAACUUAAUGUAAUAAAUACACUUAUUUGGUAUAUAAGAUUGCAUUAUUCUUAAGGCUAAAAUGAACAAAUCAGUUAUAAUAAAAGUUCUAUGCUUAUUUGUUUUGUUUAUAUUCAGCGAAGCGACACCGAUAAAGAACAUGUUAACGGGUGAUAUCAGGGACCUGGAUAUAUAUGAUGACAUCUCUGAGGGUUCCGACGAAUUCGUAAAUUGCUCCGAUUGCCAUUUCUACAAAAUAGGCAAUGGUUACAAAAAUGUCAAUAAAAUUACUAUUUAUGGCUAACACGACAGUUAUAAAUAACCAAAAUGGUCCCUCUUCUUCUUCUUUAAAGAAUAUGACUCCGUCAGCUUUUAAAAUGGUUAUAAUUAACAAAAUAGUUGUGCUAAUUAUGCGUAAGCUUUGAAUAUUGUAUGAUAAAAAUUUGGUUUCAAUAAAUGGCAUUUACAGA